rnacentral:rRNA from 1 species
CAACCAGACUCCUACGGGAGGCAGCAGUGGGGAAUAUUGGACAAUGGGGGGAACCCUGAUCCAGCGACGCCGCGUGAGUGAAGAAGUAUUUCGGUAUGUAAAGCUCUAUCAGCAGGGAAGAAAGAAAUGACGGUACCUGACUAAGAAGCCCCGGCUAACUACGUGCCAGCAGCCGCGGUAAUACGUAGGGGGCAAGCGUUAUCCGGAUUUACUGGGUGUAAAGGGAGCGUAGACGGCGAUGCAAGUCUGAAGUGAAAGGCGGGGGCCCAACCCCCGGACUGCUUUGGAAACUGUAUAGCUGGAGUGCAGGAGAGGUAAGUGGAAUUCCUAGUGUAGCGGUGAAGUGCGUAGAUAUUAGGAGGAACACCAGUGGCGAAGGCGGCUUACUGGACUGUAACUGACGUUGAGGCUCGAAAGCGUGGGGAGCAAACAGGAUUAGAUACCCGCGUAAU